rnacentral:rRNA from 1 species
UACGUAGGGUGCAAACGUUAAUCGGAAUUACUGGGCGUAAAGCGUGCGCAGGCGGCUAUGCAAGACAGAUGUGAAAUCCCCGAGCUCAACUUGGGAAUUGCAAUGGAUACUGGCAAGCUGGAGUAUGGUAGAGGAAGGUGGAAUUCCCGGUGUAGCAGUGAAAUGCGUAGAGAUCGGGAGGAACACCAGUGGCGAAGGCGGCCUUCUGGACCAAUACUGACGCUCAUGCACGAAAGCGUGGGGAGCAAACAGG